rnacentral:rRNA from 1 species
UACGAAGGGGGCUAGCGUUGCUCGGAAUCACUGGGCGUAAAGCGCACGUAGGCGGAUUGCUAAGUCAGGGGUGAAAUCCUGGAGCUCAACUCCAGAACUGCCUUUGAUACUGGCGACCUUGAGUCCGGGAGAGGUGAGUGGAAUGCCGAGUGUAGAGGUGAAAUUCGUAGAUAUUCGCAAGAACACCAGUGGCGAAGGCGGCUCACUGGCCCGAUACUGACGCUGAGGCACGAAAGCGUGGGGAGCAAACAGG